GAGUAACACGUGGGCAAUCUGCCCUGCACUCUGGGACAAGCCCUGGAAACGGGGUCUAAUACCGGAUAUGACUGUCCAUCGCAUGGUGGAUGGUGUAAAGCUCCGGCGGUGCAGGAUGAGCCCGCGGCCUAUCAGCUUGUUGGUGAGGUAGUGGCUCACCAAGGCGACGACGGGUAGCCGGCCUGAGAGGGCGACCGGCCACACUGGGACUGAGACACGGCCCAGACUCCUACGGGAGGCAGCAGUGGGGAAUAUUGCACAAUGGGCGAAAGCCUGAUGCAGCGACGCCGCGUGAGGGAUGACGGCCUUCGGGUUGUAAACCUCUUUCAGCAGGGAAGAAGCGAAAGUGACGGUACCUGCAGAAGAAGCGCCGGCUAACUACGUGC
rnacentral:rRNA from 1 species